rnacentral:rRNA from 1 species
GACGAACGCUGGCGGCGUGCUUAACACAUGCAAGUCGAACGGAAAGGCCCUGCUUUUGUGGGGUGCUCGAGUGGCGAACGGGUGAGUAACACGUGAGUAACCUGCCCUUGACUUUGGGAUAACUUCAGGAAACUGGGGCUAAUACCGGAUAGGAGCUCCUGCUGCAUGGUGGGGGUUGGAAAGUUUCGGCGGUUGGGGAUGGACUCGCGGCUUAUCAGCUUGUUGGUGGGGUAGUGGCUUACCAAGGCUUUGACGGGUAGGCGGCCUGGGAGGGGGAACGGGCACCAUGGGCCUGAGGUACGGACCAGAGUCCAAAAGGGGGCAAUAGGCGGGAAUAUUGCGCAAUGGGGCGGAGGCUAAGGCGAACACCUCCGGGUUGGGAAGGACGUCCUGCGGGUGGGAACCGGUUUCGCCUGUGACGAAGCGUGAGUGACGGUAAUGGGUAAAGAAGCACCGGCUAACUACGUG